rnacentral:misc_RNA from 1 species
GUAUAGGUUUAAUGACUGCGACUAGCACAAUCUUUAAAAGACAUUCUGUAACUUUAUAGUGUAUAUGAAAACAUAGCCCUUCAGAAAAAGCAAAAGCAGGGGAAGGGCUCACGCCCAAAGUCCCCCAAACCGCAUUGCUGCGAGAGUUAUCACUUCUUUGAAAGACUACAAAAGGUGCACAAGAGAAGAUAAAUAGUUAUGGAUCGAGCACAUGCUCAGUGAAGAGCCAGCAUCAGAACCAAACGUAUUCAAUAAUGAUCCUUCCGCAGGUUCACCUACGGAAA